GGAAACAGGUUAAUAUUCCUGUACUUGGUGUUACUGCGAAGGGGGGACGGAGAAGGCUAUGUUGGCCGGGCGACGGUUGUCCCGGUUUAAGCGUGUAGGCUGGUUUUCCAGGCAAAUCCGGAAAACCAAGGCUGAGGCGUGAUGACGAGGCACUACGGUGCUGAAGCGACAAAUGCCCUGCUUCCAGGAAAAGCCUCUAAGCAUCAGGUAACAUCAAAUCGUACCCCAAACCGACACAGGUGGUCAGGUAGAGAAUACCAAGGCGCUUGAGAGAACUCGGGUGAAGGAACUAGGCAAAAUGGUGCCGUAACUUCGGGAGAAGGCACGCUGAUAUGUAGGUGAAGCGACUUGCUCGUGGAGCUGAAAUCAGUCGAAGAUACCAGCUGGCUGCAACUGUUUAUUAAAAACACAGCACUGUGCAAACACGAAAGUGGACGUAUACGGUGUGACGCCUGCCCGGUGCCGGAAGGUUAAUUGAUGGGGUUAGCGGUAACGCGAAGCUCUUGAUCGAAGCCCCGGUAAACGGCGGCCGUAACUAUAACGGUCCUAAGGUAGCGAAAUUCCUUGUCGGGUAAGUUCCGACCUGCACGAAUGGCGUAAUGAUGGCCAGGCUGUCUCCACCCGAGACUCAGUGAAAUUGAACUCGCUGUGAAGAUGCAGUGUACCCGCGGCAAGACGGAAAGACCCCGUGAACCUUUACUAUAGCUUGACACUGAACAUUGAGCCUUGAUGUGUAGGAUAGGUGGGAGGCUUUGAAGUGUGGACGCCAGUCUGCAUGGAGCCGACCUUGAAAUACCACCCUUUAAUGUUUGAUGUUCUAACGUUGGCCCGUAAUCCGGGUUGCGGACAGUGUCUGGUGGGUAGUUUGACUGGGGCGGUCUCCUCCUAAAGAGUAACGGAGGAGCACGAAGGUUGGCUAAUCCUGGUCGGACAUCAGGAGGUUAGUGCAAUGGCAUAAGCCAGCUUGACUGCGAGCGUGACGGCGCGAGCAGGUGCGAAAGCAGGUCAUAGUGAUCCGGUGGUUCUGAAUGGAAGGGCCAUCGCUCAACGGAUAAAAGGUACUCCGGGGAUAACAGGCUGAUACCGCCCAAGAGUUCAUAUCGACGGCGGUGUUUGGCACCUCGAUGUCGGCUCAUCACAUCCUGGGGCUGAAGUAGGUCCCAAGGGUAUGGCUGUUCGCCAUUUAAAGUGGUACGCGAGCUGGGUUUAGAACGUCGUGAGACAGUUCGGUCCCUAUCUGCCGUGGGCGCUGGAGAACUGAGGGGGGCUGCUCCUAGUACGAGAGGACCGGAGUGGACGCAUCACUGGUGUUCGGGUUGUCAUGCCAAUGGCACUGCCCGGUAGCUAAAUGCGGAAGAGAUAAGUGCUGAAAGCAUCUAAGCACGAAACUUGCCCCGAGAUGAGUUCUCCCUGACUCCUUGAGAGUCCUGAAGGAACGUUGAAGACGACGACGUUGAUAGGCCGGGUGUGUAAGCGCAGCGAUGCGUUGAGCUAACCGGUACUAAUGAACCGUGAG
rnacentral:rRNA from 1 species